rnacentral:rRNA from 1 species
CAGUCGCCGCGGUAAUACGUAGGUCCCGAGCGUUGUCCGGAUUUAUUGAGCGUAAAGGGAGCGCAGGCGGUUUAGUAAGUCUGAAGUUAAAGGCAUUGGCUCAACCAAUGUAUGCUUUGGAAACUGUUAGACUUGAGUGCAGAAGGGGAGAGUGUAAUUCCAUGUGUAGCGGUGAAAUGCGUAGAUAUAUGGAGGAACACCGGUGGCGAAAGCGGCUCUCUGGUCUGUCACUGACGCUGAGGCUCGAAAGCGUGGGUAGCGAACAGGAUUAGAUACCCCAGUAGUCCCUGUCUCUUAUACC